rnacentral:lncRNA from 1 species
GGAUACACUGCAUAUACCUUCUAGUACGAUGAUACAGGCUAUGCAGUUGAGGGAGAAUGAAGAGGCAGAGAUUAGAAGGAACAGCAAAUUAAUGGAGAAGACAGGAAGGAAUGUCAUCAAAAGAGUUUAAUCCCAUCAAGAUCCCCAAAGAAGAAUUGGAUGCCAGUACUCUUUUUGCUUCUAACUUUCUACUCACAUCAAGU